CUUGAGAAGGGCCACCAUGUGCUUGUUGGCAGCAGCUACGGCAUAGUAGUAGUACCCGGCCAGGAUGAGAAUGAUGAUGGCGGGCACAGCGAAUCCUGCUGUUCCCAGGAAGAGCAGCACUGCCUUCAGCCAGUCCGGAGAUUCUGUGGACAACCCUGGAAGUGGGACUGAAGGUGGAUUGUCCCCACCACUAGGCAAGACUUCCCUCUAUCCAACCCAGUACAUGCUAAUUGAUGGUUUGUGACAUCUGCCAGGGUGCUUCACUCUCCUGCCCUGAGGGUUAAACUGAGCAAGCCUCCACGCAUCGAUUGAUUUGCCACAGCCAUUAGUUGAGUGGGCAUCCUCUUGGUCUCUUCUACUUAGGAUUGUCUCAUACAGAAACAACCCCUAUUAUCGACAUCCGGGAGGCGUGCCACGUGCCCAUGUAGCUAGAGUUGGUGUUCACAGACUAAGCUGGUAACAGUUCACAAUUCACUUUCACAAAGUAGUUGCUGGUUCAACAUGGUCAUUUCAGCGAUACUCCAUGAUCCUGUGAUGACACUUGGUAGUCAAAUCAUUGGCCACCUACACAGAUAACAACGAUUCCCUGUACUUAUGUUGAGCAAGUCCAUAACACUGUGGGCGAGUCCAAUCCAUCCAGUGGCUUCCUGGCAAGACCCACCAUUGGCCUGGCCCAUGUUGUUGUGAACUCACUCAGCACGAGUACAUAGCAUCUAUGCAGGUGGGCAAAGAUUUGAAUCUGUCACUUAUAGCACGUGCUCUGUCUCAUUGUAUAGCUGGGAGACAGACACUGAAUAGUGACUUGGAGAGGUGUAUCGAUGAUGUUGGUACCAAGUGCCUCUGCAGGAUCAUGGGGUAUCCCUGGAGUGACCAUUCUGAACUAGUGACUACUUUAUGAAACUAGUCGGAGGCCUGUUACUACCUUAGUUCAUGAGUGCCGAUUCUGGCUGUAUGGGCACAUGGCACGUUUCUUGGAUGUCAAUCCAGUUUAUAGGGUUAAUUGUGUAGCAGACAACCCUGAGUGGAGGAGACGAAGAGGUUGCCCAUGUAACUCAUGGCUGAGGCAAGUUGAUUGAUCAUUGGAGGGGGUUGAGAUGGGAAGGGAGGAUGCAUGGAGGCUUGCUUGGGAGGACCAUUGGGAGUGGAGCGACAUGCCUCCUGGCAUAUACUCCCUAUUAGUUGGUUAGUUAGUGGAGGAGUUGCUCAGUAGUGGUUGCUGCUUCACUCUGCCUUGGGAACUGGCCAGUACACCCCCUUGAGGUAUUUAUUCGACUGUAGUUGCAGCAUUCGAAUCUAAGGUGUGAAUAAUCUUGCCUUGACAACAUGCAGUCGCAUGGUAUGUUCAGUUUCAUGGAUAACAAAUGAUAGCCUGCACAUAUGUUAGACCUGACAAAUACGUCAAUAAUAGUUGAUUUUGAGUUUCAAAUUAUUAUGUCAGACAGCUGUUCUGUUAUAUCUUUCUCUGCAGAAGGCAGUGCCAGGGCUAUUUAAUAAUUAUGAGCAACAUUAUAAAUUAACUAAACUGCUGUCUGCAGCAAAAUGUGAAUCCUUGCUCGUUCGUUGUGUUCCGAGCUAAAGUUACUUAAAAUCAACUGUAACUAUUCGUCUUUGUAGCCAACACAUUGUUGAUAUUUCUAUCAUUUAUUAUUCAUGAAAUCUGACGUGCAUUGUGACAGCAGGCUACCUGAGCACAAUGAUGCACACUUCAGACCCUGGCACUGCAAUUAUAGUUACCUGUCUAUGAGAAUAUACAGGGUUCACAAUGCACAACACCUGCAAGCAAUAUUAUGACACCAAAAUUAAGAACACAUAAGCUGAUUUGGCAAUCUAUCAUAUCUCAGAAGUGUAGGUACUAAUCAUGUGUUGUGUAUAUUUGACUGUUAUAAAGGAAUUCUGUAGAGCAUCUGAACUGCAAAUGUCAGCAAGGAUGAUAAAUAAAUCUGGAGGGAACA